CCUACGGGUGGCAGCAGUGGGGAAUAUUGGACAAUGGGGGCAACCCUGAUCCAGCCAUGCCGCGUGUGUGAAGAAGGCCCUCGGGUUGUAAAGCACUUUCAGUGAGGAAGAACGCCUGGUGGUUAAUACCCAUCAGGAAAGACAUCACUCACAGAAGAAGCACCGGCUAACUCCGUGCCAGCAGCCGCGGUAAUACGGAGGGUGCGAGCGUUAAUCGGAAUUACUGGGCGUAAAGCGCGCGUAGGUGGCUUGAUAAGCCGGUUGUGAAAGCCCCGGGCUCAACCUGGGAACGGCAUCCGGAACUGUCAAGCUAGAGUGCAGGAGAGGAAGGUAGAAUUCCCGGUGUAGCGGUGAAAUGCGUAGAGAUCGGGAGGAAUACCAGUGGCGAAGGCGGCCUUCUGGACUGACACUGACACUCAGGUGCGAAAGCGUGGGUAGCAAACAGGAUUAGAUACCCUAGUAGUC
rnacentral:rRNA from 1 species